AUGGAGUCACCAUCAUCAAAGCGCAACACCACCCCUUCCCUCUUCUUCCAAUGCUCACACCUCGUCCUUCCAUGGCUAACCCCACAAGAGCUAGCCACGGCAUCUCUCACCUGCACCACCCUCCGCAAUCUCUCCACCUCCAUCACUCUCCGCCGCGCCUCCGACGCCUCCCGAUCCCUCGAGCCUCUUCCCAUCCCAUUCCACAACUCCCUCGACCAACACCCUUAUGCCUACUUCCUCUACCAACCCACUUCUUCUCCUUCAACCAAUCUUCUACGCCAGCCGUGGGGCGCCUCCUCCGCUCACCACGACUCGGACACGAAGACAAGAACUGAAACUGAAACCUUGUCGUUGUGUUUUGUCGACCAAAGUGGGAACUGUGGGUGUGAGGAGACUUGUGGAGGCGGGUGUCCGUGUGUUGUUGGAUUUGGUGGAAUGGACGGCGUCGUUUUUGAAUGUGGGCCUGGUUGUGGGUGUGGGUUGAGCUGUGGGAAUCGGUUGAGUCAGAGAGGGAUUCGGGUUAAGUUGAAGAUUGUGAGGGACCGGAGAAAGGGAUGGGGUUUGUUUGCCGACCAGUUUAUACCAAAGGGUCAGUUUGUGUGCGAGUAUGCAGGUGAACUAUUGACAACCAAGGAAUCAAGAUUGCGGCAACAAACAUAUGAUGAACUUUCAUCAGGUGGUCACUUCUCACCUGCUCUUUUGGUGGUGAGGGAGCAUCUUCCAUCCAAAAAGGCUUGUCUGAGGCUUAAUAUUGAUGCCACAAUAAUUGGAAAUGUCUCAAGGUUCAUCAAUCAUUCUUGUGAUGGAGGUAAUUUGUCCACAUCUCUUGUUAGAAGCUCAGGCGUUUUGCUUCCACGGCUUUGCUUUUUCGCUUCAGAUGACAUAAGAGAAGAUGAAGAGCUUACAUUUAGCUAUGGUGAAACUAGGCUAAACUCCAAGGGUAUGCAGUGCUUUUGUGGAAGCUCUUGCUGUGUUGGUGUAUUACCCUCGGAGCAGACUUAAUUGAUGCUUGGCGCCGUAGCUCCAAAGAAGCAUAAAUUCUUUACUUUUAUGUAGAAGAACCACUCAUUGAGAAGAAAUGGGAAGAUGAAGAAGAAGGGGGAUAAGAAGAGAAGAAACUGUCAUCAUGACUUUUAGAUUACUGAAGUUAUUUAUAGUGUUGAGGAAUUGAUUGCAUUGGAGUACUUGGAGUUGGCAUGGGGUUGCAGUGGCGAGCCCGCAUUUGGACUCGUCAUUAGGACUAUUGCAUAACUUAAUGGCAGUCAUUCGGAAGCAAGAUUAGGCAAGAAACCCAAGGAAGCUGGUGAGUGUUCUUACAGCUGCAGUUCGGGUAAGAUUAAGAUGCGACUUGUCUCUGCUGUUCGUGAGUUCCACCUGGUGUGGAAGAAAUGCUACUUACAUUAUGGCGGUGCUGAUACUUCUGAGAGUGAACCAAUGGAUUGCAGCAGUGAAUUGGA